GUUCGCGAUUAAGUCCUGCCAAAAAUUCAUAAACUCUUUCAUUUUCAACUCUCUUUUUAUACCGAGUAUAGUCAUCGGCGCACCUCUAGUCUUCAUCACUACUGAGAUCAAGUUCUUGCCACAGGGAUGUCAUCUCCAUAAAGUAGUCCGUCAUAUCUCUUUCACCUUGCCUCGCCUGCCAUAAUCAAGUCUUGAUUUCGAAGAUGUGUGAAGCAUUUUCGGAAUCAGUAUAAGUCUAUCUCAUGGCGUCCCAAACUUCCUUUGCAGUUGGAAGAAAUAAGUAAGUCUUCCCUAUGGUGGGUUUCAUGGAAUUGACUAGCCAC
rnacentral:lncRNA from 1 species